rnacentral:rRNA from 1 species
ACGGAGGGUGACAGCGUUAAUCGGAAUUACUGGGCGUAAAGCGCGCGUAGGCGGCUGGAUAAGUCGGGUGUGAAAGCCCUAGGCUCAACCGGGGAACGGCACUCGAAACUGUCUGGCUGGAGUCCGAGAGAGGGUGGCGGAAUUCCGGGUGUGAGGGUGAAAUCCGCAGAUAUCCGGAGGAACACCGUUUGCGAAGGCGGCUGCCUGGAUCGGCACUGACGCUGAUUCGCGAAAGCGUGUUGAGCAAACAG